GGGAUAAUAGGAAAAAACCCAAUAUCUUUUGAGAGCUAGUCAGAGACUCUCUGCCUUGAAGCACGCUUAGACAGUUUUGACAAUGGCAGGCCACAGGUCAAAGCUCCCAAAUUUCUGUCUCCUGACAAGAUACCCCGACUCCCGCCACUAGAUUGACAUUUCCAUUUUUCAAUGCCCAAAUGAGCACUUGAUUUUUUCUGCCAACUAGAACUUGCUGAUGGACAUGUGCCCUUACUAAGAUUUACUGUCACCUUUAGCUAUGUUAUAGCAGUGGAGCAAAGCGGGUAAUGGGAAAAUGAAGUUUGAUUGCUAGGUUUUUGGCUUGAGCCAAAGAGUGGAUAGAGGUACACUGGAGAGAUGGGGAACACUGGAAAAGUAGCAGGGACAGUAUUUCAGGCAAAAGAGAGAGCAUGUUAGGAGGCCUACAGAUGAGAGGGUAUGGUAUUUUCAAGGUUGUCAAUCAAUGAGCUCUGUGGAGAAAUGCCUCACUCUGGGAAAUAGUAUGUGAAUAACUGAGGAGUUUAAGAAUGAAGUUGGACAGAGGCCCCUGGGGUUUCAGCAAGGCACCAUGGAAUUCCCACAUCUAAAAAUGUAACCUCAUCUGUUCUUUCUUUCGUUCAGUAAUACAAGUGCCAGGCACUACGAUAUUCAGCCCUAGCCAGUGGAUACAGUUAACCUAAUCAAAUGGAUUAAACCACCAAUUGAGUAAAGAAGACUAAAACAGAUUAGAGUAGUCAAAGCAAUGACAUCCAAGACUAUAAUUCCUGAAAGGCACUCCAUUGCAGGAGUCAUCUCUGACAUCUGACAUCUCUCUUGUUUUUCUUCUAACAUUUGUAUCAUAUGGCAUCACAUCUUACACUCCCUGCAAAACACAAGUGCAUGAGGGGAACCAAUGUUUCAUCCAAGACUGUAAGAAUGAUUUCAAACAGAUGGUGCCCUGUACAAAUCAACAAGAAAAUACGUAUUGCAAUUUUUUAUUUUGCUGACACGUCCUGUCCACUCUCUCCACUCUUAGAAAUGGCUAGACUCUUAUAUUUGUAUUUCAUUCAUGUUUAUAAGUUUACAGCUUGGGCAUAAAUACAAGCAUCUGUCUGCCUUUCUUUCUUUUCCACAGUUGCUUAUAUUGCAAAUCUCCACCCAGUCUUCCUCCAUUAUCCUUUCUGGGUGAGAUUAGAUGCCAGGCUCUGGUUUGAAUGGACCAGGGUUCAAAUGCCACCUCCAGUUGCUUACUAACUGCAGUGGCUGGCAUGUAAAAUCGUAACAAAGUAGCAACUUCGUGAGAUUGUUGUGAGGAUUAAUGAGAUAAUGUCAUUUUAGGUGCUCCAUAAUUGGUAGCUGUUAUUUCUGAGUUUAGCAGGAAACUCCCCUUAUCAUGAACAAAUCAUUUCUUUAACUUUUUUCCUGCUUAAAUCAAAUAUGCCCCUGGCAAACCUGUACUCCAGGCGCAGUAGGGUGUUUGGAUCUUGACCCUAUCUGUAAGGCUUUUCUUCCUUUCAGUCAAUUGGUACCAAUAUGUUCCACCUGCUUGUUUAUAUACUCCAGGCAAACCUGGGAGGGGCUGAGUUGAAGCGACACAGGGAGAGGGGGACUGGCUGGAAUCAGGGCAUAGAUAAGGAGUUCUGCCCCAGUAGGGGUCAGCCUGGCCUGCUAUCGUGAAGAAGGGAGGUGGGGAUGGGUAAUAAAGGCAGGAGUCGAGCAGAGGAGUCCGGGGGGCAGUGGGAUGAGGAAGGAAACAAACUAGCUCCCAGGUCCACUUAGGCGGUGAAGGACAGAUAGAGAAUUCUGUUCCAUCCUCCCUCAAUCCCUCCUUGGGGAAGGACAAACUCCGAAGGAAGCCCCCUAUCCGCACGCUGCUCUGGACCCUAGAGAACCUGCGAUCAAAAUUAGACCUCCGAGCUGCCUAGAUGGGACCCGGAAGUGCACGCCGAGAACCCGAGGUUCCAGCCAUCCUCCUGGAGGCCCGGGUCGUUGACCUUGGCGGAGCGGGCGGAGCGGGCUGAACAAUGACUGCUCUGACCCUUGGGGCGUGUUCUGAAGAAUUUUUAGAGAAGAUCUUGGCUUUGGAGUGGCAGCAGGGAUUGGACCCAUCCCAUGGAGAAGCUGCUUGAGCAGAUGUCCCCGGAGUCCCUGUAUCCAUCCCCUGAGCAGGAGCUUCGAAAUAGCAAGGUAUGUGGGCCACCAGCACAGCAUGACCACUAACAGAGUGUUGUAGUUCUGUGCUUUGGAGCUGAACCUGGGCCACUGAGGCACAGCACGCUGAACUUAACCACUAGGCCACUGCGGCUGGCCCCAGAAUUUGUAUUUUCUUUGAAGAAGAAGAAGAUUAGCCCUGAGCUAACA